CCUACGGGAGGCAGCAGUGGGGGAUAUUGCAAAAUGGGGGGAACCCUGAUGCAGCGACGCCGCGUGGGUGAAGGAGUGCUUCGGCAUGUAAAGCCCUAUCGGCAGGGAAGAAGCAAGACGGUACCUGACGAAUAAGCCACGGCUAACUACGUGCCAGCAGCCGCGGUAAUACGUAGGUGGCAAGCGUUGUCCGGAUUUACUGGGUGUAAAGGGCGUGUAGCCGGGUUGACAAGUCAGAUGUGAAAUCCUGCGGCUUAACCGCAGAACUGCAUUUGAAAAUGUUGAUCUUGAGUGCUGGAGAGGCAGAUGGAAUUCCUGGUGUAGCGGUGAAAUGCGUAGAUAUUAGGAGGAACACCAGUGGCGAAGGCGGUCUGCUGGACAGCAACUGACGGUGAGGCGCGAAAGCGUGGGGAGCAAACAGGAUUAGAUACCCCUGUAGUC
rnacentral:rRNA from 1 species